AGCCGGGUGACUGAGUGGCUAAGUAGAGGUCUGCAAAACCUUGCACGGCAGUUCGAACCUGCCCCCGGCGU
rnacentral:tRNA from 1 species